GUUGAACGCUGGCGGCAGGCCUAACACAUGCAAGUCGAACGGUAAGAGGAAAAGGCUUCCUUCCUUACUUACGCGUCGCAGACGGGUGAGAAAUGUCGAUAACACUGCCUUAUGGCUGGGAAUAACUACUGGAAACGGUAGUAAAAACCGCUUAACUUCUCAAGAGCAAGGAUGAGAACCGUCAGGCGUCUUUCCAGCCAAUUUUACCAGAUGGGAUUAGCUAGUAGGUGGGGUAACGGCUCACCUAGUCGACGAUCCAUAGCUGGUCUGAGAGGAUGACCAGCCACACUGGAACUGAGACACGGUCCAGACUCCUACGGGAGGCAGCAGUGGGGAAUAUUGCACAAUGGGCGCAAGCCUGAUGCAGCCAUGCCGCGUGUAUGAAGAAGGCCUUCGGGUUGUAAAGUACUUUCAGCGGGGAGGAAGGGAGUAAAGUUAAUACCUUUGCUCAUUGACGUUACCCGCAGAAGAAGCACCGGCUAACUACGUG
rnacentral:rRNA from 1 species